AUACGGAGGGUGCAAGCGUUAUCCGGAAUCAUUGGGUUUAAAGGGUCCGUAGGCGGACUAGUAAGUCAGGGGUGAAAUCCCACAGCUUAACUGUGGAACUGCCUUUGAUACCGUUAGUCUUGAGUUAUAUGGAAGUAGAUAGAAUGUGUAGUGUAGCGGUGAAAUGCUUAGAGAUUACACAGAAUACCGAUUGCGAAGGCAGUCUACUACAUAUAUACUGACGCUAAUGGACGAAAGCGUGGGGAGCGAACAGGAUUAGAAACCCGAGUAGUCC
rnacentral:rRNA from 1 species